rnacentral:rRNA from 1 species
UAAGUGUUGCAGUUAAAAAGCUCGUAGUUGGAUUUCUGUGGGGACGGAGCGGCCGGCCGCACAUCGCGGUUCGAGCUAGCGCUUUCCCUACAUCCUGCCGCGAACCGUGCUACCAUUAGCUUGGUGGCGCUGGGGAUCGGCUCGAUUACUUUGAGAAAAAUAGAGUGUUCAAAGCAGGCCACACGCCUUGAAUAAGUUAGCAUGGAAUAAUAACUAAGGACUUCGGUUCUAUUUUGUUGGUGUUCGGGACUGAAGUAAUGAUUGAUAGGGACAGUUGGGGCGGUCAGUAUUCCAAAGCGAGAGGUGAAAUUCUUAGACCUUCGGAAGACUAACAGCUGCGAAAGCGUUCCACAAGGAUGUUCCCUUUGAUCAAGAACGAAAGUUGGGGGAUCGAAGACGAUCAGAUACCGUCGUAGUCUCAACCAUAAACUAUACCAGCUAGGGAUCGGCCAACGUUAUUUUAUACCGACUUGGUCGGCACCUUAUGAGAAAUCAAAGCAUCUGGGUUCCGGGGGGAGUAUGGUC